CCCUUAGAUGUUCUGGGCCGCACGCGCGCUACACUGAUGCAUUCAACGAGUUUCUUCCUGGUCCGAGAGGAAUGUGUAACCUUUUGAAAGUGCAUCGUGAUAGGGAUAGACUAUUGCAAUUAUUGGUCUUCAACGAGGAAUUCCUAGUAGACGUAGUUCAUCAGACUGCAUCGAUUACGUCCCUGCCCUUUGUACACACCGCCCGUCGCUCCUACCGAUUGAAUGCUCAGGUGAGCCAUUCGGACUUUCAUCAUGCUGGUUUCCAGUUUUGAUGAAGGAAAGUCUUGCGAACCUUAUCAUUUAGAGGAAGGAGAAGUCGUAACA
rnacentral:rRNA from 1 species